GCUCUUCUGGUGGAAUUGGUAGACACGCUGGUUUUAGGAACCAGUGCUUUUAGCGUGAGGGUUCGAGUCCCUCGAAGAGCA
rnacentral:tRNA from 3 species